rnacentral:rRNA from 1 species
CGGGAGAUAGCUGGUUCUCCCCGAAAGCUAUUUAGGUAGCGCCUCGUGAAUUCAUCUCCGGGGGUAGAGCACUGUUUCGGCUAGGGGGCCAUCCCGGCUUACCAACCCGAUGCAAACUGCGAAUACCGGAGAAUGUUAUCACGGGAGACACACGGCGGGUGCUAACGUCCGUCGUGAAGAGGGAAACAACCCAGACCGCCAGCUAAGGUCCCAAAGUCAUGGUUAAGUGGGAAACGAUGUGGGAAGGCCCAGACAGCCAGGAUGUUGGCUUAGAAGCAGCCAUCAUUUAAAGAAAGCGUAAUAGCUCACUGGUCGAGUCGGCCUGCGCGGAAGAUGUAACGGGGCUAAACCAUGCACCGAAGCUGCGGCAGCGAACGUAUCACCCAAGACAACUUUACGGAGUUGACGAUUGACGGAGCGAAGCGACGUCAAAGCGUUCAUUAAAGUCGAGUUGGCUUAGGGAUACGUUCGUUGGGUAGGGGAGCGUUCUGUAAGCCUGUGAAGGUGUGUCGUGAGGCAUGCUGGAGGUAUCAGAAGUGCGAAUGCUGACAUAAGUAACGAUAAAGCGGGUGAAAAGCCCGCUCGCCGGAAGACCAAGGGUUCCUGUCCAACGUUAAUCGGGGCAGGGUGAGUCGACCCCUAAGGCGAGGCCGAAAGGCGUAGUCGAUGGGAAACGGGUUAAUAUUCCCGUACUUGGUGUUACUGCGAAGGGGGGACGGAGAAGGCUAUGUUGGCCGGGCGACGGUUGUCCCGGUUUAAGCGUGUAGGUGUGUGUUCCAGGUAAAUCCGGUUCACUUUAACACUGAGGCGUGACGACGAGGCACUACGGUGCUGAAGCAACAAAUGCCCUGCUUCCAGGAAAAGCCUCUAAGCAUCAGGUAACAC